UACGGGGGGGGCAAGCGUUGUUCGGAAUUACUGGGCGUAAAGGGCUCGUAGGCGGCCAACUAAGUCAGACGUGAAAUCCCUCGGCUUAACCGGGGAACUGCGUCUGAUACUGGAUGGCUCGAGUUUGGGAGAGGGAUGCGGAAUUCCAGGUGUAGCGGUGAAAUGCGUAGAUAUCGGGAGGAACACCUGUGGCGAAAGCGGCGCACUGGACCAUAACUGACGCUGAGGCGCGAAAGCUAGGGGAGCAAACAGG
rnacentral:rRNA from 1 species